AAUAUGCCAGUGUGAAAACGGUGAUCGGUUUUGAACAUAUUUAAUGUUAAUUAAGUCGUAGCUAAUCUGUGCACAAGAGAAUACUCAUUUACUUUGACCCUUUUAGGACAUACUGAAACAUCGAUGUGUGAUUGUUUUAAUUUCUGAAGAAGUACUGUUGGGUUUGUCAGCUAAGUAUGAUACACGAGUAUGUGGUGCUUUAAAGUUUUUCUUGUCAUCAUGACGAUUGGUUGGUCCAAACAUUGUGCUUACAUAUACAUUUUCUGUGAAUUACAAUUCAUUUUGAGUAAAGAUGUCCAUAUAUUAGAUUUCAAUUACAUUCCUGUAGUGCCGAAAACAUGCAGCUGUGACUCCUAGUUCCUGUGCUCAAAUUCCUUUGUUUGGUGCCGUCUUUUUGCCCUUUUCUCACAUAAUAUGCUGUGAACAGUAGAUGAAGUGCAUCAGGCAAAUUCCAUAUUUCUAGAUUUUUGGAAAGCAUUUGAGAUGGUGCCCCAUUCCAGGUUAUUAACAUAGGUACAUUUACAGAUACACAGACGGCUCAGAGAUUUCUUAAGUAAUAGAACCCAGUAUGUUGUCCUCAACAGUGAGCGUUCAUCAGAGACAUCAGGAGUUCGCCAGGAAAUUGUGAUAGGACCACUGUUGUUCGCUAUAUACAUAAAUGAUUGGUGCACAGGGUGGGCAGCAGCCUGCGAUUGUUUGCUGAUGAUGCUGUAGUGCACGGUAAGGUGUUGUAAUUGAGUGACUAUAGGAGCAUACAAGACGAUUUAGACAAAAUUUCCAGUUGGUAUGAUGAAUGACAGUCAGCUCUAAAUGUGGAAAAAUAUAAGUUAAUGCAGAAGGUGGCAGGAGUAAAAUAUAGACAGCAAAAGGCUAUUUACAAUUUGUACAGAAAGUAGAUGGCAGUAAUAAGAGUCGAGGGGUAUGAAAGGGAAGCAGUGGUUGGGAAGGGAGUGAGACACGGUUGUAGCCUAUCCCCGAUGUUAUUCAAUCUGCAUAUUGAUCUAGCAGUAAAGGAAACAAAAGAAAAGUUCGGAGUAGGUAUUAAAAUCCACGGAGAAGAAAUAAAAACUUUGAUGUUCGCCGAUGACAUUGUAAUUCUGUCAGAGACAGCAAAGGACUUGCAAGAGCAGUUGAACGGAAUGGACAGUGUCUUGAAAGGAGGAUAUAAGAUGAACGUCAACAAAAGCAAGACAAGGAUAAUGGAAUGUAGUCGAAUUAAGUCAGGUGAUGCUGAGGGAAUUAGAUUAGGAAACGAGACGCUUAAAGUAGUAAAGGAGUUUUGCUAUUUGGGGAGCAAAAUAACUGAUGAUGGUCGAAGUAGAGAGGAUAUAAAAUGUAGACUGGCAAUGGCAAGGAAAGCGUUUCUGAAGAAGAAAAAUUUGUUAACAUCAAGUGUAGAUCUAAGUGUCAGGAAGUCGUUUCUGAAAGUAUUUGUAGCCAUGUAUGGAAGUGAAACGUGGACAAUAAAUAGCUUAGACAAGAAGAUAAUAGAAGCUUUCGAAAUGUGGUGCUACAGAAGAAUGCUGGAGAUUAGAUGGGUAGAUCACAUAACUAAUGAGGAGGUAUUGAAUAGAAUUGGGGAGAAGUGGAGUUUGUGGCACAACUUGACAAAAGAAGGGACCGGUUGGUAGGACAUGUUUUGAGGCAUCAAGGCAUCACAAAUUUAGUAUUGGAGCUCAGCGUGGAGGGUAAAAAUCGUAGAGGGAGACAAAGAGAUGAAUACACUAAGCAGAUUCAGAAGGAUGUAGGCUGCAGUAGAUACUGGGAGAUGAAGAAGCUUGCACAGGAUAGAGUAGCAUGGAGAGCUGCGUCAAAUCAGUCUCUGGACUGAAGACCACAACAACAACAACAACAAUGCAGAUGAGUAGAAAAAUGAAACCUAUAAUGCUGGGAUACGGUAUUACCAGUGUCCCACUUGACACAGUCAAGUUGUUUAAGUAUAUGGGCAUAAUGUUGCAAGGCAGUCUGAAAUGGAAUGAGCAUGUGAGAACUGUGAUAGGGAAGGCUAAUUGUCAACUUCGGUUUAAUGAGAGAAUUUUAGAAAAGAGUAGUUCACCUGUAAAGGGAACUGCAUAUGGGACAAUGGUGCGACAUGUUUGAGAGUACUGCUCAAGUGUUUGGGAUACGUUCCAGGUCGGAUUGAAGGAAGACAUUGAAGUAAGUCAGAGGUGGGCUGCUAGAUUUGUUAUCUGUAGGUUUGAACAACAUGUAAGUACCACGGAGAUGCUUCGAGAACUCAGAUGGGAAUCCUUGGGGGGAAGGCAAUGUUCUUUUUGAGAACCGGCAUUUGGAGUUGACUGCUGAAUGAUUCUACUCCCGCAACAUACAUAGCGUGGUAGGACCACGAAGGCAAGAUACAUGAAAUGAGAUCCAAUACGGAGGCAUAUAGACAGUCGUUUUUCACUAACACUAUUUGUGAGUGUAACAGGAAAGAAAAUGACUAGUAGCGUUGCAAGGUACCCUCCACCACACACCAUACAGUGGCUUAUGAAGUAUCUGUGUAAAUAUACACCUUUGGUCAAAUUCUUUUUCUGCACCCUGUGUUCAUAGUAAAUCCCACUAUUGUUGUGGUUUUGUCUGUUAAGUCAUUAUCAGGGGUUUAAGUGCAGCCAAUAGAAAAUACUAAAGCCACACAUUUCACAGAAAACAGUUACGUCUAUUACCCAGUGCCUUCAAGAAGAAGAUGGGACUGAGAAGUGGCCAAACUUAUCACAUACUGGAAAACAGCAACUGUCAAAGUGGGUACAAAAAAUAGCUUUGAUGUGACCUUGUAUGGCUCUUCUGGGUAUUUGUUAUACACACUGCCUGUAUAAAAAAUCAAAAUGUAACAUCUUAUUAUGAGAACAUUUCAUAAAAUUGACAUGCUUUGCCAGGUUUAGGACUAUAUGUAACAACUGCAAUUGAUUCUCAAGAAAUUGGCUUUGUGGUGUGUACACAUUCCAGCACAGUGCACCAUUCGGUCAAAAACAGGUUACAAAAUGUCCGUAACACAUGAAGAAUGCAUUGAAAUCAUCUUGAUAUCAGGAGAAAGAAGCACAUGGGUCAUUGCUGAGGAUUUCAACAGUCGUCACCCAACCAGACAGCCCAUCACUCACAGCACAGUUGCCAAGCUUUUGGCCAAAUGCCAAGCAACAUGUUCUGUCGCAGAUAAACCUAAGGCUGGAAGACCAAAAUCCACCACCAAUGAAGCAACAACAAUGAGCGUGUUGGCAUCAUUUAGCAAGAGUCCGCAACGGAGUUCUCGUCGCCUGUCACAAGAUUUGGGGUUAGCCGUACCUCCAUACAGCGAAUUUUAUCCCAGCAUAAAUGGCACCUGUACAGAAUUCAGCUGCUCCAACACCUGAACGAGGAUGACACAGACCGUCGGGUACAGUUCGCAGAAUGGGUGCCACAGCAGCUGCAGAUAAACCCACAUUUCCCCUAUAAGGUGCUGUUGAGUGAUGAAGCCAAUUUCUUGAUCAAUGGUGAAGUGAACAAGCUGAAUCACAGAUACUGGUCCGACACAAAUCUGCACUUUAUUGAUGCUUCCAAAAUGAUUGACUCACAAAAAGUGAUGGUCUGGUGUGGUGUGUGGGGUACCAAAGUCGUUGGACCUUUUUUUAUUGAUGAUAUGUUAACAGCCAACGGUUAUCUGAGUUUACUGGAUGAAGAAGUGUUUACCUCAUUAACGGAGAACGGGACAUUUCCGGAAUUCUUCAAGCAUGAUGGAGCCCCACCACAUUAUGGGCACAAUGAGUGAGCAUACCUCGAUGUGCAGUUCCCUCAAAAGUGGAUUGGUCAUAGGGGUGCUGUGGAGUGGCCACCACGUUCUCCAGAUUUGACUCCUUUGGAUUUUUGGGGUCAUGUCAAAGCACUGGUUUAUUUUGUGAAAAUACAGGAUUUGCAUCUCUAAAGCAGUGCAUUGUUGAUGCAUGUGGUCAAAUUCAGCCAAAUGUGUUGGUCAUAGUUCAUCAGGACUGAGUUCGGAGGAUAGCAUUAACAAUCCAACAUAAUGGAAAACAUAUCGAGCCAUUCCUAUGACUGUUGGUGGUCUCUUGGGACUGUGUAACAUCGGCGUAAUGUCUCUUCAGCACAUAACACAUGCUGCCAAGUGUUCCACCGCUGCCAUAUGUAACUGCCUAUAACCCGAGAAUGAAUAAAGCUAUGUUUAAAAUAACAA